UGUCGGAGCAGCAGCAGGCGGGACCGCAGCAGUACAGAUGUAAGUUUCAUGUAACUUCACACACUGUCCUAAAAAAUGUGCGGUUGCAUCUCUUUGUCAUGUCAUGGUGUCAUAUUUGCCCAAGUAAUCAUUUUAUGAGCAAAUAUGUGGCGACAUCAUGGAGGUAAUGCUCACUUAUUCCAUCAUUAAACUGCACAGCUGCAGUACUACAGCCAGGCCCGCAGAUGAGGGGCUUCAGUUACCACUGUCUGCACGGGCGCAGUACCUACUCUCUGCCUGCGGGGGUCGUCUUUCCCCACCGCUCGUCUAGUGUGUCCGAAUUGGGCCAACGUGUUUAGUAUGUAGGAGUAGGAUCUAGCAGUAGUAUGUAGCAGUAGCAUGUAGUAUCCGAGCAGGCAAUUCGGACGCAGCAUUGAUGUUCCUGUGGUGAGACGCCUCCUCCUUUUGUGUUUUUUUGGAUGGACUUCCUGUGUUUACGUGUUUGCCUGUGCUGCAUCCGAAUUGCCAAGUAGUAGUUGAAGUAGUAGUCGAAGUAGUAUGUAGCAUGUCCGAAUUGGCCACCGGAGCGAGUAGCAUGCUACUUCAGAUACUACUUCAGAUACUAGACACGCCCACAUUGUAGGAUGGUCGCAUUGCAUCCUACAGGCAUGCUACUGACCCAAAAUGGGUCACCGCGGGCUUCUUCUUCGUCCUCUUAAAAGUUGUAGAAGCGCAUGUGAUGCUAGCGCCACCAGCUGCUCUGCCUAUUUAAAUGCGUCGCGAACGGCGGCUGACCACAGCAGCGCGCACCAUGGCGGAGCAGCAGCAGGAGGCAGGACCGCAGCAGUACAGAGCAAACAUGUGGCGACAUCAUGGAGGUAAAGCUCACUUAUUCCAUCAUUAAACUGCACAGCUGCACUAAUCAGGCAGAUCUCAUUGAACAAACGAUCACCACGUGAGUGAAUGAAGGCUAAAAGUAAUGGAAAAGCUACUUUGUGAAUUUCUAAAGCAGUGCAGGAAUAUAAUACAGCAGCAUCCAUCACUUGCACAAUUACCAUUCAAAGAGUCUAAAACGGGCGCAGUACCUACUCUCUGCCUGCGGGGGUCGUCUUUCCCCACCACUCGUCUAGUGUGUCCAAAUUGGGCCAACGUGUUUACUAUGUAGGAGUAGGAUCUGCAGUAGCACGUAGCAGUAGCAUGUAGUAUGCGAGUGGGCAAUUCGGACACAGCACUGGUCUGGCUUUACUCUCUUCCAGAGCUUCCUCCCCUCCCCCAGUCGCUGAGGCUGAGUGAGACUACACACCUGCUCUACAUCUGCAAUCAAGGCACUUCAAGAAGCCAGCAGCCCUCAGUCUCAGCGCCUGAGUAUUGUCUUCACUUUCAAUUGGUAUAGACGCGUCUCCUGGCCUCCUUCCUUUAAAAUUAGUAUUCGUAAUUCUGCUCCUGAUUCAUUGGCCCAAUUCCAAACUCCACCCUAAGCCCUCAAGCCCUGCACCCUCAUUAGCUUAGGUUAAGUCAGCUGGUAAGUGCUUGAGUGUGGGAGGGUUUAAGGGCUCCAAAAGGGUAUAAAAGCAAUGGAACAGCCCUUUGUGACGUGCCACGUUACCUUGACGACAGAUGACAACGUUGCAGUGACAACCAAAGACGCGACUGACACUUGCCUCUCUGGGCCUCUCAAUUCUGCAUUUAUUUCGCGGCCAGCGACGUCACAGAAGAAAGGCCAACAUUAUUCCACUCCUUUUGCACACACUUGCUCUUGAACAUAGACAACAGGUAAUUGGUAAAUAAUGAUUAGAUUGAUAAAUUAUAAAACCAGCAUUAAUGAUAGGUUAAGUGAUAUUGAAUGGUUAAAAGGUUGAAGCACUAGAUUCUGAAAGUAAUUACUGCUUUAGAGUGUUAGUUCAGUAUAAAAUGUAUUGAUUCAGAUAAAAGUUUGAAGUAAAAAUCAAUUUUCUUUGUUAUAAGAAUAACGCAUGCGUGUGUGUAUGUGUAUAUAUACACACACACACACACACACACACACACACACACACACACACACACACACACACAUGUAUAUAUACAGUACAGGCCAAAAGUUUGGACACACCUUCUCAUUCAAUGUCUUUUCUUUUUUUCUAUAUGACUAUUUACAUUGUAGAUUAUUACUGAAGGCAUUAAAACUAUGAAUGAACACAUGUAGAAUUUUGUACUUAUAAAAAAAGUGUGAAAUAACCGAAAAUAUGUUUUAUAUUCUAGUUUCUUUAAAAUAGCCACUCUUUGCUCUUGAUGACAGAAGUACCUUGUCAGGGUUACUUCAGGCACACCUGUGAAGUAAAAACCAUUUCAGGUGACUACCUCAUGAAGCUCAUUGAGAGAACAGCAAAAUUUUGCAGCGCUAUCAAAAAAGCAAAGGGUGGCUACUUUGAGAAAUCUAAAAUAUAAAACAUGUUUUCAGUUAUUUCACACUUUUUUCUUCAGCACAUGAUUCCACAUGUGUUCAUUCAUAGUUUUGAGAAUCUACAAUUUAAAUAGUAAUGAAAACAAAGAAAAUGCAUUGAAUGAAAAGGUGUGUCCAAACUUUUGGCCUGUACUGUGUAUAUAUAUAUAUACUUGUUCAUCUUGGCAUUCCAGCGCCCACCAUACACGAUGCGGAACAUCCAUGUUAGAGUAUUAAGGGUGCACCUAGAUCCUGAAUGAACUGCUUCUUUUUGAGCUUCUUCGCCAUGAUCUCCGUCAUUUUUGGUGUCUGUCGCGGACGAUGAGACGCUUGUGGCCUCGUUCCCUUUUAAAUCCUGGCCCCGGCUGCGUCGGCGUCCUCCGGUAACGCCCACAACGCAAUGAAUUGUGGGCAAUUUCAUAGCCAAAGUCUCCAACGGUACGGACUUACGGAAAGGGUGCAGAAAGGGGCGUUCCGGAGCCCUCGCUGACUUACCGAUUUCAUUUGGAACAACCCUCAAGCCCUUACAGAGCUCACAUGAGCGCGCACCUAAGUCAAUGAGUCAGUGAGGGGGUGGUUUGGAAUUGGGCCAUUAUAUGUUCACUCACUUCCCUCUCCUCUGUUUUUCCUGCAGUGCCUCCAGCCCACACGACAGCCAGCCAACCAGCCUAUCGG